rnacentral:rRNA from 1 species
UACGUAGGGUGCAAGCGUUGUCCGGAAUUAUUGGGCGUAAAGAGCUCGUAGGCGGUUUGUCGCGUCUGCUGUGAAAAACCCGAGGCUCAACCUUCAGAGGUCGACCGAAACCAUCUGGCUAGAGUCCGGGAGAGGAGAGUGGAAUUCCUGGUGUAGCGGUGAAAUGCGCAGAAUAUCAGGAAGAACACCGGUGGCGAAGGCGGGUCUCUGGGCAGUGAACUGACGCUGGAGGAGCGAAAGCGUGGGAGCGAACAG